rnacentral:rRNA from 1 species
UACCAGCACCCCGAGUGGUCGGGACGUUUAUUGGGCCUAAAGCAUCCGUAGCCGGUUCUACAAGUCUUCCGUUAAAUCCAACUGCUUAACAGGUGGGCUGCGGAAGAUACUAUAGAGCUAGGAGGCGGGAGAGGCAAGCGGUACUCGAUGGGUAGGGGUAAAAUCCGUUGAUCCAUUGAAGACCACCAGUGGCGAAGGCGGCUUGCCAGAACGCGCUCGACGGUGAGGGAUGAAAGCUGGAGGAGCAAACCGG